rnacentral:lncRNA from 1 species
CCUACCAAGCAGUUCACUCCCGCUGACCGCUGUACCAGUAGCACGACCGGCCGAGGACCGCCCGCCAGCAGCACCAGCAGGCCACCGCAACGCAACUGCAAAACAUAACGGUGCGAGACAGCGAGAGCGCGCGACCGAGCGUGACGGGGUCUCCAACGCCUCAACGUGCGCGCCCACCACGCCUACAUGCGGCUCCAAAGCCUUGCAAUCUUGACCGAGCAGUGCCGGACGGACGGAGCGAGCCCAGCGACGGGGCGGGCGGAUGCGGGGCGCCCUAUCCAGCAUGUGAUUUCGAGGGAGAAUCCAGCCCUCCAGCUAGCCCAGCCACAAGCCAGGCUGCCACCUCCCCCCUUCCAACCAUCGUCUCCUCCCUUUCUUCCACCUCCACCACACCACGCCGCACCACAACCGCCGCUCCACCCUGGUCCCACCCCGCCCCCCUCCCCUCAAAUCCCCCGNN